GUCCGGAUCUCCCCCCCCCCCCCCCCCCCCCCCCCCCACGAUCUCGAUCUCUCUCUCAUCUACAGAAGACAUGGAAACCAGAAUCGGCGUGAAAAACCUACAAGCUCUGCCAGGAGAAACUCGAUCAAGCGGAAGCUAUCGGAGUAUUUCGAUACCGAUCGAACGGUCGCCAUUGCGUCGACUGGUAAAGCUCAAGAAGAUAUCGUCCGCGAUGUUCUCGCUCAGGUCGCAAUCCUCGACUCCACUUUCUCGUCCACCGAGGCGGAUCGGGCCGCUGCCAAGUGCGCAGCACAUGUUCAUUCGGAACUUGCCAAGAACGCAUCAAGCGCUGUGGUUCUUGAAUUUUUUGAUGAUCAAGGUCUUUGAAUUUUUUCGUUAUAUCCAUGCAUGAAGCGGGAAUCGCAUCACUUGUUGAUUUGCUUGAACUCAAUGUCAUGAAGGUGCAGAGAGCAGGAGCAGGGGCUCUGCGGACUAUUGCCUUUAAAAACGAUGAGAAAAAAAAUCAGGUUUGAAGCGGUUGGCUAUGAUUUUAUCCGGUAACUCUAUUCCUGCUGUUCUGAGAGCCAAAGGGUUGUAGCUUUGUUGCUUGGGCAAUUUGCAGCUACUGAUUCGGACUGCAAGGUGCAUAUUGUUCGGAGUGGUGCUGUCCC